rnacentral:tRNA from 2 species
GCGCGCGUGGCGGAAUUGGUAGACGCGCUAGAUUCAGGUUCUAGUGGGGGCAACCCCGUGAAGGUUCGAGUCCUUUCGCGCGCACCA